CGAAAGCCUGACGGAGCAAGACCGCGUGAGGGAGGAAGGCUCUUGGGUCGUAAACCUCUUUUGUCAGGGAAGAACACAAUGACGGUACCUGACGAAUCAGCCUCGGCUAACUCCGUGCCAGCAGCCGCGGUAAUACGGAGGAGGCAAGCGUUAUCCGGAAUUAUUGGGCGUAAAGCGUCCGUAGAUGGUCGCUUCAAGUCUGCUGUCAAAGACCGGGGCUUAACCCCAGAAAGGCAGUGGAAACUGAACAGCUAGAGAGAGGUAGGGGUAGAGGGAAUUCCCAGUGUAGCGGUGAAAUGCGUAGAUAUUGGGAAGAACAUCAGUGGCGAAAGCGCUCUACUGGACCUUAUCUGACAUUGAGGGACGAAAGCUAGGGGAGCG
rnacentral:rRNA from 1 species